rnacentral:rRNA from 1 species
GAUGAACGCUGGCGGCGUGCCUAAUACAUGCAAGUCGAGCGAACGGACGAUAAUCUUGCUUCUCUGAUGUUAGCGGCGGACGAGUGUGUCACACGUGGACACUCUCCCUUUACGACGGGGAUCACUUGGGUAAACCGGCGCUAAUACCGGAUAAUCUGUUGAGCCCCAUGGUUCAUAACUGAUAGUCGGUCUUGCUGUCUCUUAUAGAUGGUUCCGCGCUGCAUUAGCUAGUUGGUAAGGUAACGGCUUACCAUGGCAACGAUGCAUAGCCGACCUGAGCGGGUGAUCGGCCACACUGGAACUGAGACACGGUCCAGACGCCUACGGGAGGCCGCAGUAGGGAAUCGUGCGCAAUGGGCGGAAGCCUGACGGAGCAACGCCGCGCGAGUGAUGAGGAGCUUCGGAUCGUAAAACUCUGGUAUUGGGGAAGAACAUAUGUGUAAGUAACUGUGAACAGCUUGACGGUACCUAAGCAGAAAACCACCGCUAAAUCCGUG